rnacentral:misc_RNA from 1 species
AAGUCGUAACAAGGUCUCCGUUGGUGAACCAGCGGAGGGAUCAUUACCGAGUUCUUUACGCUCGUAACCCUUUGUGAACCAUAAUACCCGUUGCUUCGGCGGCGCGCCGGCGACCGACUCCCCCCUUCGCCGGGGGAUUAGGGGACCGGGCCGCGCCCGCCGGUGUAUUCAGAAUCUCUGUUCGAACCCGACGUAACUUCUGAGUGUUCUAAGCGAACUGUUAAAACUUUCAACAACGGAUCUCUUGGCUCUA